CCUACGGGUGGCAGCAGUGAGGAAUAUUGGUCAAUGGCCGGAAGGCUGAACCAGCCAAGCCGCGUGAGGGAGGAAGGCGCAGAGCGUCGCAGACCUCUUUUGCCGGGGGACAAAAGGCCGGACUCGUCCGGUCCUGAGGGUACCCGGAGCAAAAGCAUCGGCUAACUCCGUGCCAGCCGCCGCGGUAAUAGGGAGGAUACGAUGGUUAUCCGGAUUCAUUGGGGUAACAGGGUGCGCAGGCGGGCCUUUACGCCGGCGGUGAAACCGCGGGGCUCACCCCCGCCGAGCCGUCGGAACUGGGGGCCUUGAGUGCGGCGGAGGCAUGCGGAAUGCGCGGUGUAGCGGUGAAAUGCAUAGAUAUCGCGCAGAACCCCGAUGGCGAAGGCAGCGUGCCGUGCCGCCACUGACGCUGAGGCACGAAAGCGCGGGGAUCGAACAGGAUUAGAUACCCCUGUAGUC
rnacentral:rRNA from 1 species